UUUCUCUCGCCUGGAACAGCCCGCUCCCAUGUCUGCCCCCUUCCAAGCCAGAGCAGGCCGUUAAAAUGUCACUUAACAUUCUAGAGAAUGUGAAAUAUAUUGUACAUUGUCAACUCCCCAAAACCAUAAAACUAACUUUAUGGACCUCACGUGACUUUUGAGAGCCAGUAAGGGGUAUCUGGCUGAGGUCUCGGCGAUUUUUACGAUCUAACUUCUAGAUAAAACCCUAUCCAUUUGACAUCUUAAUGUCACAGCUACUUUUGGUAUACUUACUUAACUUUGGGUGUGGGUAAAAUAUAUGCGUGUGUGCGUGCGUGUCUCUGGGUGUGUAUUCGAGGGAAGGCGAGGAAAUGGGGUUGUGUUUUUGGAAAAUGACAACUGGCGUCCCAUCCCUCUCCAAACCAUUUCAGAAGUAACUAAAGAGUUUUUGGGGUAACUGGAAGAAAAAUCUCGCACACCGUAGCGGAAGACCCUGGAGAGAAGCAUCUAAUCCAACUGGUUUCAGUACAAAAACUUCCUCGAAAGAGUGGAUUGGAUUGAGGACAAAGCAACUCCGGCAAGAUCGAAGCUGGAUAAGUCCGUCGAGAUGGGAAUUCCUUAAAGCAAGAGUCACGUCUCUGACCACAGCUAUUUACUCGAGCGUCCAAAGAAUCUCUUGGGU